rnacentral:tRNA from 1 species
AUGGCGGUAGCUCAAAGAGAGCAUUACAUUGAAGCUGUAAAGGUAGUUAAACUCCGUGAUA